rnacentral:misc_RNA from 1 species
GAAUGGGAACAUCGGUGCAGGUAACGCCUCUAUGCGGAGUAUACAACGAGAAUCCAUUAUCCUACUUGGUCUCCAUUGAUGGCUUUAAUUUCCUAAUCGAUUGCGGCUGGGACGACCACUUCGACCCCUCUCCUCUUCCACCUCUCUCGUAGCUUCGACGAUAGAUGCAGUAUUAUUGUCGCAUUCCGAUACGCUUCAUCUAGGCGCAUUGCCCUAUGCCAUGAAACAGCUUGGCCUCUUGGCUCCGGUUUAUUCUACUGAACCAGUCUACCGAUUAGGUCUCCUAACCAUGUAUGAUCACUACNNNNNNNNNNNNCGGAAUUUGAUUUGUUUACUCUGGAUGAUAUUGAUUCUGCUUUUCAGAAUGUUACCAGGCU